GUGGGGAAUAUUGGACAAUGGGCGCAAGCCUGAUCCAGCAAUGCCGCGUGGGUGAAGAAGGUCUUCGGAUCGUAAAGCCCUUUCGACAGGGACGAUGAUGACGGUACCUGUAGAAGAAGCCCCGGCUAACUUCGUGCCAGCAGCCGCGGUAAUACGAAGGGGGCUAGCGUUACUCGGAAUUACUGGGCGAAAAGGGCGCGUAGGCGGCUCUGUUAGUCAGGCGUGAAAUUCCUGGGCUUAACCUGGGGACUGAGCUUGAUACUGCAGGGCUUGAGGCCGAGAGAGGGUGGUGGAAUUCCCAGUGUAGAGGUGAAAUUCGUAGAUAUUGGGAAGAACACCGGUGGCGAAGGCGACCACCUGGCUCGGUUCUGACGCUGAGGCGCGACAGCGUGGGGAGCAAACAGGAUUAGAUACCCCAGUAGUCC
rnacentral:rRNA from 1 species